UUAAGUUAUUAAGGGCGCACGGUGGAUGCCUUGGCACUAGAAGCCGAUGAAGGACGUUACUAACGACGAUAUGCUUUGGGGAGCUGUAAGUAAGCUUUGAUCCAGAGAUUUCCGAAUGGGGAAACCCAGCAUGAGUUAUGUCAUGUUAUCGAUAUGUGAAUACAUAGCAUAUCAGAAGGCACACCCGGAGAACUGAAACAUCUUAGUACCCGGAGGAAGAGAAAGAAAAUUCGAUUCCCUUAGUAGCGGCGAGCGAAACGGGAAGAGCCCAAACCAACAAGCUUGCUUGUUGGGGUUGUAGGACACUCUAUACGGAGUUACAAAGGACGACAUUAGACGAAUCAUCUGGAAAGAUGAAUCAAAGAAGGUAAUAAUCCUGUAGUCGAAAAUGUUGUCUCUCUUGAGUGGAUCCUGAGUACGACGGAGCACGUGAAAUUCCGUCGGAAUCUGGGAGGACCAUCUCCUAAGGCUAAAUACUCUCUAGUGACCGAUAGUGAACCAGUACCGUGAGGGAAAGGUGAAAAGCACCCCGGAAGGGGAGUGAAAUAGAACCUGAAACCGUGUGCUUACAAGUAGUCAGAGCCCGUUAAUGGGUGAUGGCGUGCCUUUUGUAGAAUGAACCGGCGAGUUACGAUUUGAUGCAAGGUUAAGCAGUAAAUGUGGAGCCGUAGCGAAAGCGAGUCUGAAUAGGGCGUUUAGUAUUUGGUCGUAGACCCGAAACCAGGUGAUCUACCCUUGGUCAGGUUGAAGUUCAGGUAACACUGAAUGGAGGACCGAACCGACUUACGUUGAAAAGUGAGCGGAUGAACUGAGGGUAGCGGAGAAAUUCCAAUCGAACCUGGAGAUAGCUGGUUCUCUCCGAAAUAGCUUUAGGGCUAGCCUCAAGUGAUGAUUAUUGGAGGUAGAGCACUGUUUGGACGAGGGGCCCCUCUCGGGUUACCGAAUUCAGACAAACUCCGAAUGCCAAUUAAUUUAACUUGGGAGUCAGAACAUGGGUGAUAAGGUCCGUGUUCGAAAGGGAAACAGCCCAGACCACCAGCUAAGGUCCCAAAAUAUAUGUUAAGUGGAAAAGGAUGUGGCGUUGCCCAGACAACUAGGAUGUUGGCUUAGAAGCAGCCAUCAUUUAAAGAGUGCGUAAUAGCUCACUAGUCGAGUGACACUGCGCCGAAAAUGUACCGGGGCUAAACAUAUUACCGAAGCUGUGGAUUGUCCUUUGGACAAUGGUAGGAGAGCGUUCUAAGGGCGUUGAAGCAUGAUCGUAAGGACAUGUGGAGCGCUUAGAAGUGAGAAUGCCGGUGUGAGUAGCGAAAGACGGGUGAGAAUCCCGUCCACCGAUUGACUAAGGUUUCCAGAGGAAGGCUCGUCCGCUCUGGGUUAGUCGGGUCCUAAGCUGAGGCCGACAGGCGUAGGCGAUGGAUAACAGGUUGAUAUUCCUGUACCACCUAUAAUCGUUUUAAUCGAUGGGGGGACGCAGUAGGAUAGGCGAAGCGUGCGAUUGGAUUGCACGUCUAAGCAGUAAGGCUGAGUAUUAGGCAAAUCCGGUACUCAUUAAGGCUGAGCUGUGAUGGGGAGAAGACAUUGUGUCUUCGAGUCGUUGAUUUCACACUGCCGAGAAAAGCCUCUAGAUAGAAAAUAGGUGCCCGUACCGCAAACCGACACAGGUAGUCAAGAUGAGAAUUCUAAGGUGAGCGAGCGAACUCUCGUUAAGGAACUCGGCAAAAUGACCCCGUAACUUCGGGAGAAGGGGUGCUCUUUAGGGUUAACGCCCAGAAGAGCCGCAGUGAAUAGGCCCAAGCGACUGUUUAUCAAAAACACAGGUCUCUGCUAAACCGUAAGGUGAUGUAUAGGGGCUGACGCCUGCCCGGUGCUGGAAGGUUAAGAGGAGUGGUUAGCUUCUGCGAAGCUACGAAUCGAAGCCCCAGUAAACGGCGGCCGUAACUAUAACGGUCCUAAGGUAGCGAAAUUCCUUGUCGGGUAAGUUCCGACCCGCACGAAAGGCGUAACGAUUUGGG
rnacentral:rRNA from 1 species